rnacentral:lncRNA from 1 species
UGCUAUAUAUUUAUUAUUUACAUAUAAUGUAUAUAGUUAUUUUAUUUAUUACUAUAGUAUUUAUUUAGAAUAUAUCAACCCAUAUAUACAUCCAGGCGCUAUACAAUAAUCAACCGUCCGACUAGCGUAUAACGUAUUUUAUAACACUGCUUAGUUUGAAUCAAGUUACAAGUAGUCAUUAUUCAUAAGCCAUAACAUAAGCCUAUCCCGCCCGUACUUUGUUUGUUUUUCAAGUUUGACUCAAGUUAUAAGUAGUCAAUACUUCACGUGUGCAACUCAAGUAACAUUCAUUAUAAAACCAAAAUAUAAAUUUAACCAGACACCAAAUUCAAUAGGCAAUCGCAAAUGUUUUGAAAAAACAACACCAAAUCAAAACAAUGAAUCUCCAAAAUGUAAAUUAAAACCAAAACACCAAAUAAAAAUACCAAAUCAAGAAGGUAUAGCCUAUGUGUGUUUAAGAAACCUGUUGCAUCAGAAUAAAGUCAUGUAUGGUAUAGCCAUUAUUUUUUUUAUUUUUAACCAAUAUAUAGCCAUUAAUUAAUGUCUUAAUUUGUGUAAUAGCUAAUUUUAAGAAAAAAAUUAAGAAUAUAGUAUUGAUGUUGACAUAAUUAGAUCUCCAAACAUUUUUUUUCUUUUUUUUCUUUUCCUUCUGAUUUUCU